rnacentral:rRNA from 1 species
AUGGGAGAAGUUGUCGAUGGCACUAUCGCUUUAAUAUCCAAGCUUCCUAGCUUGCAGUCCUUGACCCUCCAUGGGUCAGGCUCAGAGAAGCCAAAUUUCUCUUGGAUUGGCAAUCUUGAGCGUUUAAGAUACUUGGACCUGGAACACUACAACUUGUCCAGUCCGAUACCUUCUUGGGUUCGCAACCUUACAAGUUUGACAAGUUUGUUGCUUCGAGAUUGCAGCUUAUAUGGGAGGAUACCCAUCUGGAUCAACAACUUAACAAAUCUUUCUCGGCUAUAUCUUACCAGAAAUAACCUUCAAGGUGACAUUCCAAAAUGUCUGUUAAAUCAUCCAAAUUUGGAAGAACUGAACUUAGGAUCAAAUCAACUUUCUGGUCACCUUGAAGAUGUUUCUGCACCACGAUCUUCACCUUUAUAUUAUGUUGUGUUAUGUUUUAAUCAGCUAAGUGGCCACAUACCCAAAUCAUUCUUCAGUUGA